AAACAUUUUUAGAAUAGCGAGGAUAAAAAAAAUAAAUAAAAAGUAUAUACGCAAAAAAGAAAAAAGAAAACAAAAAGAAUAGCAAUAAUAUAUAAUAUAUAUUUUUUAAAUAAGAACUUUAAAACAAUAAUUGAAAAAAUAUUUAAAAAGAAAAGUAUAAAAGAAUAUUUUAAAAAGAUUUAAAUUAGUCAUGUAUUUAAAAAAAAUAAAAUUGAUGUAAUAAAAAAUAAAAAGUAAUAUUUUUUUAAAGAAAAGAAUUAGAAAAAAAAUCUUUCCACCAUAGACAUUAUUUUUAUUGUCGGCUGAAUUUCUAGGCAGUGUUAGAUGAAAAUACCAAUUUUAAAUUUUUUAAUUUCAAUGAACAUUUUAAAUAGUAUUUUCAACUGAAUAACACACUGAAUAGCAAUUCAGUUUACAAUAAAAAUAACAAAAUAGCAUUUGUACCACCACUGGAAAUGUUAAAAAAAAUCAGACAGACCAAACCAGGAAGGAUAGACAGUCUAGGAGGACCAUAAAACUGCGAUUCACCUGGAUGCGGUUCAAAGAGGAAAAGUGGACUUCGUCGCCUAAUGGAGUCACUAAGCAGCAACUUUACAGGUCAAAUGCUCAGAUGGAAGCUUGGAAGCUCUCCAGAAGAAAAUUUAUCGGAUAUAACAAUCAAUAAAUUACGGACGACAUUAUUUUAUUAAAUAAACAAGCAUUUAAAUAA